rnacentral:rRNA from 1 species
UGGGGUAAUAUUGCACAAUGGAGGAAACUCUGAUGCAGCGACGCCGCGUGAGUGAAGAAGUAUUUCGGUAUGUAAAGCUCUAUCAGCAGGGAAGAAAAUGACGGUACCUGACUAAGAAGCACCGGCUAAAUACGUGCC